rnacentral:rRNA from 2 species
CGGCGAGUGAAGCGGCAAGAGCUCAAAUUUGAAAUCUAGCACUUUCAGUGUUCGAGUUGUAAUUUGAAGAAGGUAUCUUUGGAGUUGGCCCCUGUCUAUGUUCCUUGGAACAGGACGUCACAGAGGGUGAGAAUCCCGUGCGAUGGGGAGACCAAUUCUUUGUAAAGUUCCUUCGAAGAGUCGAGUUGUUUGGGAAUGCAGCUCUAAGUGGGUGGUAAAUUCCAUCUAAAGCUAAAUAUUGGCGAGAGACCGAUAGCGAACAAGUACAGUGAUGGAAAGAUGAAAAGAACUUUGAAAAGAGAGUGAAAAAGUACGUGAAAUUGUUGAAAGGGAAGGGCUUUUGAUCAGACUUGGUGUUUAACGAUCUCUUCUCCUUGUGGGAGGGGCUCUUGUUUUAUACUGGGCCAGCAUCGGUUUGGAUGGCAGGAUAAUGACAUUGGAACGUGGCUUCAUUCGUGAAGUGUUAUAGCCUUUGUUGAUACUGCCUAUCUAGACCGAGGACUGC